rnacentral:rRNA from 1 species
UAGGGAAUAUUGCACAAUGGACGAAAGUCUGAUGCAGCAACGCCGCGUGGAGGAUGACACAUUUCGGUGCGUAAACUCCUUUUAUAUAGGAAGAUAAUGACGGUACUAUAUGAAUAAGCACCGGCUAACUCCGUGCCAGCAGCCGCGGUAAUACGGAGGGUGCAAGCGUUACUCGGAAUCACUGGGCGUAAAGAGCGUGUAGGCGGGUAUAUAAGUCAGAAGUGAAAUCCAAUAGCUUAACUAUUGAACUGCUUUUGAAACUGUAUACCUAGAAUGUGGGAGAGGUAGAUGGAAUUUCUGGUGUAGGGGUAAAAUCCGUAGAGAUCAGAAGGAAUACCGAUUGCGAAGGCGAUCUACUGGAACAUUAUUGACGCUGAGACGCGAGAGCGUGGGUAGCAAACA